UAGAGAGUGUCAGUUCUAGACAAUUAUCAUCAUUUAUAAAGCACCAACAUUUCCACAGUGCUGUACAAUGGGUGGACUAACAGAUAAGUAUUUGUAACCAGACAAGUUGGACGCACAGGAACAGAGGGGUUGAGGGCCCUGCUCCAUGAGCUUACAUGCUAGAGGGAAUGGGGUAUAGUGAAACACAAGGUAAGGGUACGAUAGAAAAUAAUUC